rnacentral:lncRNA from 1 species
GAGCUGGCGGGAGGCAGCGGCCCCAAAGUCAGGACCGAGGAGAGCCGGGCUGACUGCCAAGGAGGGCCGGGCUGGCUGCCAAGGUCAACCAGGUGGAGGCCUUCGGGAUUCGGCAAGAGCAGUUCUGUGAGCUGGCGGAGCCUGGCGUCUGCCUGCGUGACGUGGAGGAACCGCAGGCGGCGACCGCGGACAGAAUGUCCUCGUGAGUCCUCAUACAACCUAUCCUUAGGCGGUAACAGGCUGCAGCUGUUGAAGUCUAAUUUCACUCUAUUGAUUGCCAUGUAAGACAUGCCUGUGCCUGCUUCCCCUUCGCCUUCUGCCAUGACUGAAAGUUUCCUAAGGCCUCCUCAGAAGCCGAGCAGAUGCCAGCAUCACGCUUCCUCUAAAGCCUGUGGAACCAUGAGCCAAGUAAACCUCUUCUCUUUAUAAAUUACCCAGUUUCCGGUAUUUCUUUAUAGCAAUGUGAGAAUAGACUAAUACAAAGUGUUUGGCCAUCUUGAAUUGAUUUUUGUAUAAUGUGAGAGAUGAGGAUCCAGUUUCAUUCUUCUACAUGUGGCUUGCCAGUUUUCCC